CUCGUAGGCGGUUUGUCGCGUCUGCCGUGAAAGUCCGGGGCUCAACUCCGGAUCUGCGGUGGGUACGGGCAGACUAGAGUGAUGUAGGGGAGACUGGAAUUCCUGGUGUAGCGGUGAAAUGCGCAGAUAUCAGGAGGAACACCGAUGGCGAAGGCAGGUCUCUGGGCAUUAACUGACGCUGAGGAGCGAAAGCAUGGGGGAGCGAACA
rnacentral:rRNA from 1 species